GAGGAGCCCAGAGCCUGAAUCAGUGUGUGUGUUAGUGGAAGCGUCUGGAAAGGCGUGCGAUACAGGGUGACAGCCCCGUACACAAAAAUGCACAUAUUGUGAGCUCGAUGAGUAGGGCGGGACACGUGGUAUCCUGUCUGAAUAUGGGGGGACCAUCCUCCAAGGCUAAAUACUCCUGACUGACCGAUAGUGAACCAGUACCGUGAGGGAAAGGCGAAAAGAACCCCGGCGAGGGGAGUGAAAAAGAACCUGAAACCGUGUACGUACAAGCAGUGGGAGCCUCUUAAUGGGGUGACUGCGUACCUUUUGUAUAAUGGGUCAGCGACUUAUAUUCUGUAGCAAGGUUAACCGAAUAGGGGAGCCGAAGGGAAACCGAGUCUUAACUGGGCGUUAAGUUGCAGGGUAUAGACCCGAAACCCGGUGAUCUAGCCAUGGGCAGGUUGAAGGUUGGGUAACACUAACUGGAGGACCGAACCGACUAAUGUUGAAAAAUUAGCGGAUGACUUGUGGCUGGGGGUGAAAGGCCAAUCAAACCGGGAGAUAGCUGGUUCUCCCCGAAAGCUAUUUAGGUAGCGCCUCGUGAAUUCAUCUCCGGGGGUAGAGCACUGU
rnacentral:rRNA from 1 species